rnacentral:rRNA from 1 species
GAUUAACGCUAGCGGCAGGCCUAAUACAUGCAAGUCGAGGGGCAGCGGGAGUAGCAAUACUUGCCGGCGACCGGCGCACGGGUGCGUAACACGUAUGUAACCUUCCCUUAACUGGAGAAUAGCUCCGAGAAAUCGGGAUUAAUACUCCAUAACACUGCGAAGUGGCAUCACUUUGCAAUUAAAGCUCCGGCGGUUAAGGAUGGGCAUGCGUCCCAUUAGCUAGUUGGCGAGGUAACGGCUCACCAAGGCUACGAUGGGUAGGGGUUCUAA